CUUCUGGGAAAGCUUUCGCGGUAUGGGAUGGGGUCGCGUCCUAUCAGCUUGACGGCGGGGUAACGGCCCACCGUGGCUUCGACGGGUAGCCGGCCUGAGAGGGCGACCGGCCACAUUGGGACUGAGAUACGGCCCAGACUCCUACGGGAGGCAGCAGUGGGGAAUAUUGCACAAUGGGCGCAAGCCUGAUGCAGCGACGCCGCGUGAGGGAUGGAGGCCUUCGGGUUGUAAACCUCUUUUAUCGGGGAGCAAGCGAGAGUGAGUUUACCCGUUGAAUAAGCACCGGCUAACUACGUGCCAGCAGCCGCGGUAAUACGUAGGGUGCAAGCGUUAUCCGGAAUUAUUGGGCGUAAAGGGCUCGUAGGCGGUUCGUCGCGUCCGGUGUGAAAGUCCAUCGCUUAACGGUGG
rnacentral:rRNA from 1 species